GCAGUCGAGCGAAGCGUAUUAGCGGAAGUUUUCGGAUGGAAGCGGAUACGACUUAGCGGCGGACGGGUGAGUAACGCGUGGAUAACCUGCCUCAUACAGGGGGAUAACAGUUAGAAAUGACUGCUAAUACCGCAUAAGCGCACAGGACCGCAUGGUCCGGUGUGAAAAACUCCGGUGGUAUGGGAUGGAUCUGCGUCUGAUUAGCUGGUUGGUGAGGUAACGGCCCACCAAGGCGACGAUCAGUAGCCGACCUGAGAGGGUGGCCGGCCACAUUGGGACUGAGACACGGCCCAAACUCCUACGGGAGGCAGCAGUGGGGAAUAUUGCACAAUGGGGGAAACCCUGAUGCAGCAACGCCGCGUGAGUGAAGAAGUAUUUCGGUAUGUAAAGCUCUAUCAGCAGGGAAGAAGAAAGACGGUACCUGACUAAGAAGCCCCGGCUAACUACGUGCCAGCAGCCGCGGUAAUACGUAGGGGGCAAGCGUUAUCCGGAUUUACUGGGUGUAAAGGGAGCGUAGACGGCUGUGCAAGUCUGAAGUGAAAGCCCGUGGCUCAACCGCGGAACUGCUUUGGAAACUGUAUAGCUUGAGUACUGGAGAGGCAGGCGGAAUUCCUAGUGUAGCGGUGAAAUGCGUAGAUAUUAGGAGGAACACCAGUGGCGAAGGCGGCCUGCUGGACAGAAACUGACGUUGAGGCUCGAAAGCGUGGGGAGCAAACAGGAUUAGAUACCCUGGUAGUCCACGCGGUAAACGAUGAAUGCUAGGUGUUGGGGAGCAAAGCUCUU
rnacentral:rRNA from 1 species